UCAGACAUGGUGUAGUGGGAACACGGUCUCUUCUUAUAGAAUUCCCGGUGGUACAUGUCAAGAGGCAAUCCAGGGUUCGAAUCCCUGCGUCUGAG